AACGAACGCUGGCGGCGUGGAUAAGACAUGCAAGUCGAACGGGACAGGUAGCAAUAUCUGUCUAGUGGCGAACGGGUGCGUAACACGUGGGCAACAUGCCUGGAAGAGCGGGAUAGCCCGGGGAAACUCGGAUUAAUACCGCAUGUGACAACGGUGCGGCUUCGCCCUGUUUUCAAAGGUGGGGACCGCAAGGCCUGCCGCUUCCAGAUUGGCCCGCGUCCUAUCAGCUAGUUGGCGGGGUAAAAGCCCACCAAGGCGACGACGGGUAGCUGGUCUGAGAGGACGACCGGCCACACUGGAAAUGAGACACGGUCCAGACACCUACGGGUGGCAGCAGUCGAGAAGCUUUCACAAUGGGGGAAACCCUGAUGGAGCGACGCCGCGUGGAGGAUGACGGUCUUCGGAUUGUAAACUCCUGUCAUGAAAGAACAAGCGGAGCGGGUGAACAGCCCGCCGAGUUGAUAGUAUUUCAAGAGGAAGGGACGGCUAACUUCGUGCCAGCCGCCGCCGUAA
rnacentral:rRNA from 1 species